AGCAGCCGCGGUAAUUCCAGCUCCAAUAGCGUAUAUUAAAGUUGUUGCAGUUAAAAAGCUCGUAGUUGAAUUUCAGGCCUGGCUGGGCGGUCCGCCCUUCGGGUGAGUACUGCCUGUGGUCGGGUCCUACCUUCUGGCGAAGCGUCAUGGCCUUAACCGGCCGUGGCGGGGAACCAGGACUUUUACUGUGAAAAAUUAGAGUGUUCAAAGCAGGCAAUCGCUUGGAUACAUUAGCAUGGAAUAAUGGAAUAGGACAGUGGUUCUAUUUGUUGGUUUCUAGGACCGUUGUAAUGAUUAAUAGGGAUAGUUGGGGGCAUUAGUAUUCAAUUGUCAGAGGUGAAAUUCUUGGAUUUAUUGAAGACUAACUACUGCGAAAGCAUUUGCCAAGGAUGUUUUCAUUAAUCAAGAACGAAAGUUAGGGGAUCGAAGACGAUCAGAUACCGUCGUAGU
rnacentral:rRNA from 1 species